ACUCUCUCUCCUAAAAUCUAAUUUUUUAUUUUUUUUUGGUUAUUUGGCAAAUUAGCCCAUCAAUUUAUGGUAUUAAUAAAAAAGUUUAAAACUAACAUUUUAAUUUACAGCCUACAAUAAUAAAUAAACUAUAAACGAAGCUAAAAGGAAAUAAGAAAAAAUGAUUCCAAAGAAUAUAAAUCAAGAAAAAAGAGAACAUCAAAGACGACAAAAGAUUUAGAAGAAAGCAAAGAUGACAAUCUAAAUGUAAUGAAAGUAGCAACCCAAGAAGUAAAACAGCCACAAAGAAAAAGGAAGAAAAUAAUCUAAGAUGACUACGUUACUUAAUAUUGCAAUGCUAUCCAAUAACUAUUAAUUUUGUAACACAUAACAUAAUAUUUGCUCAUUUACAUACACAUUUAUAGUUUACUACUCUUUUUUAUAUAAGUAUAUUAGACCAUUUUUAAAAUCCUUACGAAUUUAAUAGUUAUAUUUUUUGGGGAAUGAUUGACCAAUUAUCCAAAUUACUUAAGCUAAAACAUUAAAAUACAAAAAAAAAAAAAAUAAACGUCUUCUCUUUCUGCGCGUUUACGCGUGGGGUUGUUUCCUAGUGUUUUUAAUGGCAAAAAAAAUUGAAUGACUAAGAGUAUAUAUGCGAAACUGAUAGCCACAUUAUAAAAAUACGUAUGUGACAUAAUAAAAAUAGGUAUAUAACAUAAUAUAGGGUCAGCGAACAACUAAAUAUACUUAUAUGACAUAAUAUAUUAGGAUUUUUUUCUAUGGAUUCUAUAGUUAUAUGAAUUCAAUAGUAUAUGGCAUCUUUUAAUCACUAUUACUAGAGAAUUGUCCUCGAUUUAAUUAUUACCUGAAGAAUUGUCAAAAUAUUUCAACUUUUCAUAGUUUUAUUUACCAUAUAUUGAUUUUAUAUGGUUUUACGUUCAUAAAAGUGAAGUUAUUUUUUAGAAUGGAAAAAGUAUUAUUUCUUCUUUGUUUUGUCGAAUCACAUUUACAAUUAACUACUACUGGUAUCGGUUCUCUUUUUUUUAAACACUGUUUUCAUUAAGAUUAACAAAAACAAGAUACAUAGACCGGUGAUUACCACUAAUCCUAGUAAGAACAGUCCGACGAACCAAACGAAAGGUCCCCGGAAACAACAGCCCACAUAUUGGAGACAAAGAUCAACAGAGAUAACACAAUCUUUAACUUUAUCAAUCUAGACUAGAAAGAGCAAGGACCAGAUCAAAAGAAACCAAGAAACUAAACAAUGCAUGUUGACCACAACAGAGCUCCUUUGAACGAGGUGAUGACUUCAAACUUGGAAGAUACCUCCGGCGUGUGUCUCCUCCUACAGAGAAUAAUACAUGCAAUAUAGAUACCAAAGCUUCAUACACCAGGAGACAGAACAAUAAAGUUCACUAGUCGUCGACUGGAAUGGCAGAGGCGGAGAAGAGACAACUCGAAAAGCCAUGUGAAGCUUGACGGAAGAUGAGAUUUCUAUCAAAUCUUUAGGUUAAUGACAAGGAGCAAAACAACUCACAAUCGGUAUCGGUUCUCAAUGUGGACAUAUUUGAUUGAAAUAACUUAUCUUCAAUUAUAUGACAUAAAUUAUUGUAUUGUAUAAUAUAUGGACAUGUUUCGUAAGAAGUAUAUUUAUAGUAAUUGUUGUAUUUAAAAAAUAUAUGUCAAAUUAAGUAUUCAUCACUAAUUACGAUUUCACUAUUUACUAACCAUAUCUUUAUCAAUAAUAUCCCGAGUACUCAUUUCUCAUUAGUUUUAUAAAACCAUGUAAACUAACUAGGCCUGGGCAAAAUAACCGGAACCGAAGAACCAAACCGAAACCGAACCGAAGUAUCCGAAACCGGAACCGGACCCGGACCGAUACCCUCAAAUAUCCGAACGGUUCCUAUAUUUUUAUAUCCGAAAUAACCAAACCGGAACCGAACCGAGAACCGAACGGAUACCCGAAUAUAUAAAAAUAUUAAUUAUAUAUACAUAUAACAUAACUAAAUAUAUAUUUUUAAUUUAAAAUUCUAUUAAAAGUAUCUGAAAAUAGUUGAAGAUAACUAAAUUAUUAUAAAGUAUCCAAACUACCCAAAAGUAUCCGAAACUAUCCGGAUAGUUUUAUCCGAAAUAUCCAAAGUAAUCUGAAAUAUCCUAAAUUUUUAUCUAAAUCAUCCUAAUUAUUUGAUAUUUUACCCUAAAUAACCAAUAUUUUAUCCAAAUUAUCCGAACUAUCCGAACCCGAACCGGAUCCAAAUGAGAACCAAACUUUUUCUGGAUAUUUUCCGGUUCCUACAUUUACUAUUCGAACCGAACCGAACUCGAAACUAUCCGAACCAAACCGAACCGAAAAUAGGUCAAGUACUAAAUGGAUACUUUAGCCCCUAUCCGAACUACCCGAAACCCAAAAUAUCCGAACCGAACCGAUACCCGAAAUGCCCAGGCCUAGAACUAACUUUGAACCCAUCUAUCUAUAUUAUUAAAACUGAAGUAUAUUUUGCUAUUGUUUGAAAAUAUAGAUAGCAGUAUAAAUGAAUUUUUUUUAUAAACAUAUAUAGCAGUAUAAAUAAAGAAAUAUAGGCUUAUUUUAGUAAUUUCAUUAAUAUAAUUACAUUAAUUAUCUUUUUAUAUUUCACCAGUUUAACAAUUUCAUUAAUUAUAUUAACUUAACAAUACAUCAUAUCAUUAAUUAUAUUACCAUAAUAAUUAUAGUGUAGAUUUUUAUUUAUUAGUUAAUUAACAUUAAAUUUGUGCCAAUUCUAAAAUCAAAAAUAAAAAAAUUGUUGGGUUUUUCAUAUGGUUAAACGUUUGGUUUAGUUAUUUUUACUAAAACUUUUUUUUAUUUCAAUUUCAAUCGAUGGAAAAUUACGUAGCCAAAAACAUAAUUUAAAGACAUGUUUUUGUGAAAAAAAUAAUAAUUUAAUGCAAAAUAAUAA